rnacentral:rRNA from 1 species
GUCAAAGCGUAUACAAAGUCGAGUCGGUUUAAGGAUACGUUGUUGGGUAGGGGAGCGUUCUGUAAGCCUGCGAAGGUGGCCUGUGAGGGUUGCUGGAGGUAUCAGAAGUGCGAAUGCUGACAUAAGUAACGAUAAAGCGGGUGAAAAGCCCGCUCGCCGGAAGACCAAGGGUUCCUGUCCAACGUUAAUCGGGGCAGGGUGAGUCGACCCCUAAGGCGAGGCCGAAAGGCGUAGUCGAUGGGAAACGGGUUAAUAUUCCCGUACUUGGUGUUACUGCGAAGGGGGGACGGAGAAGGCUAUGUUGGCCGGGCGACGGUUGUCCCGGUUUAAGCGUGUAGGUGUGUGUUCCAGGUAAAUCCGGUUCACUUUAACACUGAGGCGUGAUGACGAGGCACUACGGUGCUGAAGCAACAAAUGCCCUGCUUCCAGGAAAAGCCUCUAAGCAUCAGGUAACACGAAAUCGUACCCCAAACCGACACAGGUGGUCAGGUAGAGAAUACCAAGGCGCUUGAGAGAACUCGGGUGAAGGAACUAGGCAAAAUGGUGCCGUAACUUCGGGAGAAGGCACGCUGACACGUAGGUGAAGUGAUUUACUCAUGGAGCUGAAGUCAGUCGAAGAUACCAGCUGGCUGCAACUGUUUAUUAAAAACACAGCACUGUGCAAACACGAAAGUGGACGUAUACGGUGUGACGCCUGCCCGGUGCCGGAAGGUUAAUUGAUGGGGUCAGCGCAAGCGAAGCUCCUGAUCGAAGCCCCGGUAAACGGCGGCCGUAACUAUAACGGUCCUAAGGUAGCGAAAUUCCUUGUCGGGUAAGUUCCGACCUGCACGAAUGGCGUAAUGAUGGCCAGGCUGUCUCCACCCGAGACUCAGUGAAAUUGAACUCGCUGUGAAGAUGCAGUGUACCCGCGGCAAGACGGAAAGACCCCGUGAACCUUUACUAUAGCUUGACACUGAACAUUGAGCCUUGAUGUGUAGGAUAGGUGGGAGGCUUUGAAGUGUGGACGCCAGUCUGCAUGGAGCCGACCUUGAAAUACCACCCUUUAAUGUUUGAUGUUCUAACGUGGACCCGUUACCCGGGUUGCGGACAGUGUCUGGUGGGUAGUUUGACUGGGGCGGUCUCCUCCUAAAGAGUAACGGAGGAGCACGAAGGUUGGCUAAUCCUGGUCGGACAUCAGGAGGUUAGUGCAAUGGCAUAAGCCAGCUUGACUGCGAGCGUGACGGCGCGAGCAGGUGCGAAAGCAGGUCAUAGUGAUCCGGUGGUUCUGAAUGGAAGGGCCAUCGCUCAACGGAUAAAAGGUACUCCGGGGAUAACAGGCUGAUACCGCCCAAGAGUUCAUAUCGACGGCGGUGUUUGGCACCUCGAUGUCGGCUCAUCACAUCCUGGGGCUGAAGUAGGUCCCAAGGGUAUGGCUGUUCGCCAUUUAAAGUGGUACGCGAGCUGGGUUUAGAACGUCGUGAGACAGUUCGGUCCCUAUCUGCCGUGGGCGCUGGAGAACUGAGGGGGGCUGCUCCUAGUACGAGAGGACCGGAGUGGACGCAUCACUGGUGUUCGGGUUGUCAUGCCAAUGGCACUGCCCGGUAGCUAAAUGCGGAAGAGAUAAGUGCUGAAAGCAUCUAAGCACGAAACUUGCCCCGAGAUGAGUUCUCCCUGAGACUUAGAGUCUCCUGAAGGAACGUUGAAGACGACGACGUUGAUAGGCCGGGUGUGUAAGCGCAGCGAUGCGUUGAGCUAACCGGUACUAAUGAACCGUGAGGCUUAACCUUACAACGCCGAAG